rnacentral:lncRNA from 1 species
GAGGAUGACGAUGAGGUUGGCGGCGGCGGUGGUGGUGAUGGUGGUGGUGGCGGCGGCGGCGAUGUCGGUGGAGGCGGAGCUGAGCGUGGAUUACUACAAGAAGAGUUGUCCCGGAGUGGAGAACGUGGUGAGGUACCAUGUCGCCAAGGCGCUCAAGGCGAAUCGCAAGGAAGGCGCCGCCCUCGUCCGCCUCAUCUUCCACGACUGCUUCGUCAGGGUAAUUAUCUCAAUCAGAUAAUUAACUUUCUUGCAUAUCAAUUAUUGUAGCGGCUCAUGAUUGAUCCAUCCAUAUAUAUCAAUCUACAUUUGCAGUACGUACUAGCUAAGGUUUACUAGCUAGCUUAACUGUUAGUUAGUUGUGUGUGUACAUAGUACAACUUGGCUUUGCAGAGUUUAGUUGUGUUACAGUUGGUUUCAUUCUUCAGAAUCACUCAUCAGGUGAUCGAUCCAUCGAGGAAACUUAUCACAUUCUAGCUAGGUUAGUUGAUUAAUUAAUAAGGAAAACAACUUUACUCUUGAUGGAAAUAACAGCAACAUUUACACAAACUAACUAAGCAACUACUCAAUCAGCAUCUUAUCUUACACCAACGUCGUCGUCGCCGCAUAAGCGUGUAUGAGAAAUGAUCAAAUCUUAAGCUAAUAUACAUAACACAGCUUCUUAGUUAAGUCUCUGAACCCCACUUGGUUGGUUGUUGUCAAGAUCAACACAGAUAGUUAUCAGCAAGUUAGCAGCCACACGCCACUGCAUUUGACACACUGUCAUCACUCCAUCCAGAGACAGUUUCUUCUUCUUUCUCUUCCUUUCUUUCCAUGCACAAAAGAAAAGAAAAGUUCAAUGGAGACCUAGCUAAGCUAAGCUAAGCUAGUUUCGUGAGCUACUUGACUUCUACUAGUUCACUACUAAUCCAACAUGGCAAGAGAGAGAAACUAAAGGUAGAUUAGAGAGAGAAAGAUAGAUAGAUAGAGAGAGAGAGAGAGAUUGGUAGCCAGCAAUUCAGCAUCUGCAACAUGCAUGCUGGAAUCGAAUGUGAUACUUUCCUUGUGUCCAUCAUUUGGACUGUCAAUGCAUGCUACACCUUUUUUUUUCCCUUCUGGCUGCUUAGCUAAACACAUAAUUAAGCUGCAUUAGCUUAGCUUAAUUAGCUCUAGGGUCCCAGAAACACUAUGCCCUUGUCGUCAGUUUAUUCCCUCUCCUUUCUUUUCUCUGCAUGGGUGCCAGCCAGAUGCAGCUGCUGCUGAUGUUGCUGUGAUUGGCAAGCAACAUGUAACUACCUAUUCAAUUGGUUCAUGCAUCAUCAGUACGUUUUGCAUACACACAAAUAAUUAAUUAAUUAGACUCUCAUGUAUAUCAUAUUAGUAGUAGUAGUAGUUAAACAUGAUUUUAUUGGUGUUCGAUUUCUAGGUAAGCUCAAUUAGUGGGAUAUGAUUAUGUUUGGAUUGUGCUUGGGGCCAGAGCUUCUUUGCUUCCUAUGGGGCAAAUUGUUUUCUUGUGCUGAUUGUCUAGGAGAGAGAGAGAGAGAGAGAGAGAGAGAGAGGAAAAGGACACAUAUGGGAGAGAAAAGGGGACACUGUGUUGAGAAAGAGAAAGCAUACCUAUAUCUCUCCAGAGUCAUGACCAAUAAUUGGUACCACUAGCUCCUCAGUCAUGAAUAGAAAAGAGAGUAAAAGUAAUUAAUUGAACUUUUUUUUACUUACCCUUUUGAUUAACAAGUAAUUAGUGCAUGUUCUGACAGAGUUUCAGCACUCUCAUCCAAGCAAGCAUCCUAGCUUACUUGGCUCUAAAAGUUCUUGGAGUUGCAUUUGUUCUGAUUAAAUUACAUAUUUUGAUUGGUUUGUGCGAGCCAAUUUGUGUUCAUGUUAUUAGACUAAAAAUAUAGAGUGAAACUAUUUUAUUUAGACAUGCAAGAAUACAACAUAGGUCAUUAGUGGCUACGGAAUUGAAUGAGCACAUUAUAGACGAAAUGGUCGGUAGCAUCGGUAGUCUUUCUUUUUGUUCUCCUCUUUUUAAGAAAAUAAUAAAAGAAGAUGAUGUACAUAUAUACAAGUUGCAGCAUGCAUGGACUUUUCGUUGUGUGGUUUAAGCAUCAGCAGCAAUAGAACUGUUCAAGUAAUUAAGAACCAAUAAUGCAUUUGCCCUCUCACCGACACUACAUAUGCAAUUAUAUGUGCAUAUCGUUUUCCAACAACUCAGCUGACGAUGAUCAAUCGAUCGAUCUAUCACACAUUUUUCUCAAGGGGCUCUAAUAUAAUUAAAGGUUUAUUUGCCAUAGCUUCAGCUCCAUCUUUUAAAAGUUGGAGCUCAACGAAACAGUUUCAGCUCCAUCUAAAAUAAGAGUAGAUCUGGUUGAAGCAUUCUCACAAAAUAAAUUAGAGAGGUGGAGCUAGAUUUAGACUGUUCCACAACUCCACUCCAAAUCCAACUCUUAAAACUAAAUUUAAGAGUUGGAGCUCUAUCAAACAGAUCCUAACUGUGCUUAAGUACAGAUAGGAUGACUUGCCAAGCACACAUAUAGUUAACAGUAUUAGUAUUAACUACUAGUGUUUUGGACGGUGGAACAAGAGUAGGAGGUAUGAGAUCGAUGAUGUGUGGAAUUAAUUGAACGAUUCCGUGGAGAUGUUUGGUCCAAAGGACGGUAUGAUUCGGCCUAGUAGUGUUAGGCUCAUUGGUUGAGAGAAUAAAGAAGGAUGAAACAACUAUAGAAUAAGUAGCAUUUUAAUACAAAACAAAUUUAAUAUAAUGAUAUUUUUAAUUAUGGAUUUAAUAAAACUAAUUCGGUGUUUUAUAUGUUGCUAAGUUUUUAACAAGCUUGGUCAAACUUGAUAUAGUUUGACAUAGGUCAAAAAAAACGUCUUAUAAUAUGGUGUGGAAGAUUGUUAAUUGACUAACUACCUAAAUUGGGGUAUAUAGAGAACUUCAACAUAUGCAGAGUGUUUAAGGCAUUAUUAGUUGACUACAUUGCGCGUGCUUAAUUUUUUAUCAAUUGUAUUGUCUAAUCAUGUGAUAAUUACCGUUAGCUAACAUAAUUAUGACAUACAUUUAAAUCUUACCCCGAUAUUCACUAAUCCCAAAACAUCUAAUUGUUACCAGUCAAAUUUAUGGAUCAUUCCUGCUUAUCCUACUAUGGUUCUACUUGUACAAUGCAGAAAUUCUGAAAUAUUUCUGCCUAAAAAAAUUCAAAAUUCGAACAAAUUUUAGUAUAACGAUUUGACCUUUUUUUACCACGCAAACAAUUUUAAGUUUGGUCAAGUUUAUGAAAACUUUUUGUAUUUGAAUUGUUUGGCGCCAUUGAUUAAUUACAAUGUAAAAAAUGCACGACAAAUUUGAAUUCUCAAUUGGUUGCUGAUUAUAGUAAUUUUUUUUUUAAAAAAACGCGCGAAUGUUAAUGAUCGAUUUGAAUUGGAAUGGGUGGUGCAGGGGUGCGACGCGUCGGUGCUGCUGGACCCGACGGCGGAGAACCCGCACACGGAGAAGACGGCGCCGAUCAACAUCGGCCUCGCCGCGUUCGAGCUCAUCGACGAGAUCAAGGCGGCGGUGGAGGAGCGGUGCCCGGGCGUGGUCUCCUGCGCCGACAUCGUCAUCUACGCCGCCCGCGACGCCUCCAUCCUCCUCAGCAACGGCCACGUCCACUUCGACGUCCUCGCCGGCCGCCUCGACGGCCGCGUCUCCCGCGCCGCCGACGCCCAGCGCGACCUCCCGGACUCCACCUUCACCAUCUCCGAGCUCAUCCGCAACUUCCGCCGCAAGAACUUCACCAUCGAGGAGCUCGUCAUCCUCUCCGGCGCCCACGCCGUCGGCGU